AGUCAAACUGUUGGGUCAAAUGGUUACUCUAUAGUUAACUUUUUGAGAAACUGCCACCUAUUUUCCAGAGUGGCUAGAACAUUUUACACUCCUGCCAGCAAU
rnacentral:pre_miRNA from 1 species